ACACUCACACAUGCACUCUCUCACAUGUACACUCACACAUGCACACUCUCACAUGCUCUCUCACACAAGCACAAAAACGUUGUUUCAAUAAAUGCGAGUUUAUUCCAGAUUGCAGCUAUUGUAGAUGUGAUGAAGAAUCUUGAACACCAGGUACGCUGGUACAAAACCUCCAACCACCUGAGGUGCUGAUGGUCUGAACUGCUCUCAUUCCCCCCCAGGCGUCCAAACAGGCUGAAGUCUCCAAACUCCAAGAAGAGAUGAUGAAGCUCUCUGACAAGCUGAAGAAGAAGCAGGAGAGGUGAGAUCUUCAUUCAUCAGGAAAGAAUCUCCAGGUUUAUGAGGUUCAGCACAUCAUGAUGGGAAUCAUCAGGACCUAACAGGUCACAAACUAACAGGAACCGCAACUGAAAAUAAAACCCGACUCUGGAAGACAAA